ACUUGUCAGAACAUGCAAGGAUUACGUCAUUGGUAGAGAAAUAACCACCGAACUAAAGAUAGCCGUGGAUAACGCAAUUGUUGAAUUAUGCGACUCGUGUGACUUCUUUGCUAGCCCUUUACUCAAGGGAAAAAAAUUAAAUUUAAUCGUGACGUUUAAGAAAGAAAGCUGUUGUUAAUAGUGUUUGUAUCUUCAUGCCCAUACAUAUCCCGAUGAAAAUUCCGGAUUAAGAAGAUUACGUCAUCGGAGAGUUCACAACGGCUACGACUGGUGGUGCAAUGAUACAGUUUGUGUUGAUCAAGUGAUGUGUCUACAGUAAUCAAUGAAUCAUCAAAGACUGCUUUGGAAUCUGCCCUGCAUUGCGACUGUAGAGCUAAGAAAACAGUUAAAUUUUAAAUGCGCGGUUAUAAGAACUCCAAGAUCUUCUUGUUUGCCAAAAAUCUGCUCAUACCACGGUAACUUUUUGAAUGCUAUUUGAAACAUCUCAAUUUAAUUCAUUUCUGUAAGUGACCUCGCGAUUAAAUUCUCAAGCAUUCUCGACAAAGUUAGUGUCAAACCUUGUAAGAAUGCUUAAAGCGUGCGUUAUCGUGUUUUGAACUGACGUGAAAUGUCCGUUUUUAUCAAAAUAUGGAUAACUUCAAAUUCAAUUUUCUCUCGCGGGGUCACCUUGAGAGCCUAAGUCUCGAUAAGUUCUUCCAAACUGUAUUCAAAAUAUUGCCAUGCUAUGCGGAUUUUUUGCUCGAAUGUUCAGCGGAAAUCAUCUUAAACAUUAUCUGUCCUAGUACUGUCUAAAGACCUUAUUGAGUAGUUCCAGCGCAACCACAAGGCGAAGUCAAAUCAAGAGAUAUGGAGUGCUGUAACCCAGUCUACUCACCUAAGUGAUAAACAUUAAAGUGGUGCUAUAGGAGUAUAGAUACUGAUUUUUUUUGUUGCCUCAAUAAGACGUUUCAGGAGUACUGCAGAGACAGUUCAGCUCAAUCGAUUCAAUUUUGUUAGUGGUACGAAAAGAGCAUCAUAGAGCUAUUUCUUAGUGGACCACUGAACUCGGCAAUUGAAUUAACAAAGGAUGUUGGCGACAUGCACAUUUUUUGCAAGACGUUUAUAGAAAGUUGCAUUUUGAUAAGAUUAUUGUCCAAUGCAUGUACUAAACAAAUGUGGGCUCAUUCUGAGUUUUUCCGUGUACUGUAAUCCAAAAUGGCAAGGACAUUUUUUUUUGGCCAAAUGUGCUAAGGGCUAGGUCACGGUGUAAGAAUGCGCCUUGGGUUCCUCCAAUUUGUCAAUUCACUAUGUGUCAAAUUAACAUUUUAGUAGAAUGCCCUGGUCAGAAUGUAGAUUAGUUUGGUGAUAGUAGAAUUAGCAGUUAGAUUACCAUAGACUUGUUUAAGGACUGCUCGCUCAAAAAUCUUCAUAACUACUCGAAGCACUAAAAUUGAUUGACUGUUUGAAAUUAUUCGGAUCUGACGAUCCAGAUUUAUGUAAAGGUGUCACCUUAACAAUUUCAAAGAAUUUGGGAUUGCACAAGACUGCAACAAACGGUUGAAGACACAAGUCAAAGGAGAGGCAAGAACAUUUGCUGGCACCAAUGUUUGUAAAAUGAGAAUGAACACCUUUAAGUCUAGAGGAUUUGUGUCAGCGCAGAAAUGACAAUUCCUGGUCAACAAACUCAGUGCAGAUAUCAUUAAAAGCGAGAGGAAGUCCCAUGCAGAAUAGUCGUGAAUUGUCUUGACUGCAAUCCAAGUGAUCUAACCAUUAGCUAUUCAAAGGUUGUCAUUCUCAAUGGCACCAUUACUAACUAGCUCUUGCAGUGCACAGCGACAAUUCCUCUUAUGUGGUCAGAAGCUAAGUUUCCUAAGAGUAGACCACGAUAUAGAAGAAUCAUCGACAUGAUGGGUAUGCAGGGCAUUAAAAAAAAUUCCUUUUGGCCAAUUCAAUUCAGUGAGUAACUUUAUUCCUUAUACUCUUAUAACAGUAACAACUAUCCAUUUAACAGGCCUCCACUUCAUUUGAUCGCAAGAUUUCAUGGCUCGCCUGAUCUGAUCAGACAUCCAGGAAGGCUAGUUGCUGUGCUCACGAAUUGAAAGAAAAAAAUUAAAAGAUAAUAUCCUAGAUAUUAAACGAUAAAACUGCCAACUUCGACGAAAGACAAAUACAUCGAUAAUAAUGUGAUACAUUUCUAAACACCCAAACACUCACUUAAAAAAAACACGACUCGGAAAUUUGAAUCCAACGUUUUACUAAACUGACAGUAAGACUCACCAUCAUAACCCGAUGUGGCUUCUUUCCUUAGUAAACUGGUAUAUUGAGACAGCGAGGAACCCAAAUUUGCAGUAAACUAGGUGUCUAUAUUGUGUAGUAAACAUUGAACAAACAAGCUGCAAGCCGGCAGCUUCGAAGAUUCUUGCCACUGGCCAACGUAAAUUGGUGCUAUUAGCUAGCCUGAAUUCGCUUUCAUCCUUGCCGGCUUCUAACAGUAGUCCAAGACAUGGAAGACAUGGAGUAAACUAAUCACAUUAAAUAAACGCUGAAUAGAUGACCUUAAUGUGAGAAAAAUCUUAGACUUUUGGUGUUCGCAAAACUGCAAAAGUUAUCAGGAAGUGAAGGAAAAGCAAUGUAGCAAAGGAAGGAGUAAAAUUAGACUCAGAUUCUCUGACCUCUCUCUUUUUUAUUCUAUAUUGUGGUUGUGGUUGUGGUUUUCAAAUUGCGGAUUCUAAAACAAUUAAGAUGUUGUCGUGACCUACUGCACGAUGACCUAACUUUCUUAUCUUGUAAACACAUCCAAACCAAUAGGUCCGCCAUGCGUACUUGUGGGCUUAUGCUUAGUGUUAUUUCAUUCGGUUGGAGUUUGUUUUUAAAAAUCAGUAUCUGGGAGCUGAAUUGCUAUAUUAGUGAGAAGGCAAUCACUGAAAA